rnacentral:hammerhead_ribozyme from 1 species
AUCCAACCGUCGAGUCCCAAAUAGGACGAAACGCUCGUCAAACUGAAU